ensembl:lncRNA
GGGGAACUAGGUUUUAGCAAUUGAAAAACAUAAAUGACUUUAAUUAUAUGGAAAGAACGAGGAUUGUUUUCCUAGAAUGCAUCGGAAUGAGUAGAAACAGUAAUUGAGCAAAUGAAUUCCGAUAGAGGCAUAAUUGAUACUUGAAAACUCAAAUAAUAAUCUACAUUACUUCAACUGCGAUAACUUACAGGAGGGAAUUCUUAACAAUGCUUUCUAACAGUUAAUCUUGGUCAGGUUCUCAUCCUUCCAAAUAAAUCUCUUUGGAGUUAAAGCUAUAUUUUGGAAAUUAAUGACUUCUUCCAUGUGAGGCUAUCCUCAGAAGCCGACCAAAUUCUGAUAAAUCUAUAAAGCAAACUACGUUCUUUUCACUGGGAUCUGGAAGAGGAUGACAUUUAUGUAAUGGAUGAGUUUUGUGCCGUCCCCAGGAAAAUAAUCUCGUAUUUUACUAAGCUAUAGUCUGCAGAAAAAUUGCUGCUUUCAUACGCUUAAUAAAGACUCACUGAAACAUCUCACAGAAAUCCCUGAGGAUCAUCUCUGCAGUGAGCCCUGCUGGAAGUCUGAGGAGGGAAUGGUGAUGGGCCUGGGCAGCAGAAGAGCAGCACCAAGCCCUGCUCCUCCAGCUGAUGGCCUGAAGGCAAAUGGACAGGGAAGGAGGGGUUGGAGACCCUUCAAGAAGGAUGUGAGAGGGAUUUAGUGAAGUGACCGCGUGGGACCAGUGGGAACUGGGAAGAGCCUUUGGAGAUCCCCAGCAAGGGCUGGGUUUGGCCGACAGUUCAGGCAGCCAUGAAUUCAUGGUGAUGGAGGAGCCUUUGCUUUCCAAGGAUUAUCGCUGUCUGCCUUACAGCCUUCAAGUCCUGGCCCAGAGAGCCCCAGGGUAGGAGAUGCUGCACAGCACAAGCCAAAAGGUCUGCAUUUACCCCUGAAAUAUUUGCCAUCAAAGACUGAUCUCACAGCAAACCGAGUUGCCCAAUGCUGAGGAUGUGGGUCUGUCAGCUUCCUAUCUAACCAAAGGCUCAACACUGUGAUUCUGGGCUGUGUCGGUGCCAUCAGGUGCAGGUGAGAGGCAGCACAUCCAUCCUGAGACCUAGAAAACAGGUUCAGAAUGCAUCCACUCAUCUUCCAGACCUCUGGAUGACCAUCCAUCAUGACCGUCGUCUCCAGCCUUGUCUUAUGACACAGCUUGCCAGAAAACCUGGCAGCCCUUCCAUGGCCAACAGGAUGACCUUGUGGUGCUCAUAGGACAGGGCAUGGGACAGCUCAGCCUUCUGCUCCCAGUCCUUCAGAAAUCCUGGAUCAGCGCUGAGCACUAAUUAAGGAAUGUUUGAACUUUAAAGCAGUUUCCUAUAUCAGCUGAUGUUGUGUUUCAGCUGCUGAAGUCCCAGGGCCAGAUUAAAACAUCUGCCACGAGAAAUAAAAGGUCACUAAAUCUGAACCUUUCACCUCUGUGUCCGGGGGAUGAGAAAGAACAUAUUGAGCGAUGCAGUUGCUAAGAUGUUCUUAAAUUUCUUUUAGCCCCAGGGAAGCUUUGGGGACCUGUGAUAUACCUAAACAAUGGAGAUUUAUGGGGAAAAGUCUGUCCAUCAGCAUUUCUCACUGCACACACAGCCUUUGCCAGCUCCACGUAAAGGUGCAGCCCCACCUCAGGAAGGAGCUGUCUACCACCAACAGAAAUUCUUCAGUUGCCUCUGUUGGAGGGGAAGGUGAAAAUGUGAAGCCCAACUGUGGAGCUGCCACAGGGCUGAAGAUGCCCACUGGGAUGUUAUGUGAAGUAGCAAUAGCAACCAGGACUUUGCAAAACUACUGCAGGCCAGUCAGAAUUUACAUAGGCUGGAGACAGCAACCAUCAAUGUCUGCAGGGUGGAGGAGCUCUGAUAGAUAUUGUUUGUGUGCUUACCAAGUUUCUUCAGGGCACUGAGAUUCCAUCCUUGUGGCUCAGUAUUUCCCUCUCCAGUGGGACUGUGAGUGCCUGCAGACAGAGAACAGGGCCCUGGCUGAAUCACAAAGGCCAGGAACGAGUGAAAAUACCCUUGGCAACCAUUGGGCCUUUUUCCAAGUGCCUGCUGGAGGUGAAGAGAUAAAGUUUCUUGCAAUACGCUAACAAUGCAAGCAUCCAGUUGCUCAGAGAAAAAG